GGUCACAGGAGGGUUGGUGCAUGGGAGUGGGUGGGAACGAGUGAUGUGGUACUGGGAAAUAGUAGGCUCCAUCUACACCAAGUACGGGACAUAGGGGGGUGGGGGCUGAAGGCACACCCCCGGGGGGUGGGGUCUGUGCUGUGACGGGAGAAGCAGGGCGGGAAUUUACUGUUGCGCUCUGGGCGCCAUCAUAGGGUGGUGGCCGUGGAACAAUAG